UCAUCCAUGACCAUUUCUAGAGCAACUGCCUUACUGAUAAGGGUUAAACUGCUGCAUGACUGGGAAAUGCUAUGCUACAUUAAGCAACUGAAUGAAGUUCAUGGCAGUAGCUUCAGCAGUACCUGGGUUGCAUUGCUGCUAAAAGUUGUGGAUGGUGGAAUAUCUAUGAAUUUCACAGGACAUGACUAGCCAAGCGGGCUGCUGCAGCUCACUCACCCUUGGUAUGGUGAAAACGGACAUUCAAACAACAAAGCUAGUAGGCAG